GGAUGAACGCUGGCGGCGUGCUUAACACAUGCAAGUCGAACGAUGAAGCCCAGCUUGCUGGGUGGAUUAGUGGCGAACGGGUGAGUAACACGUGAGUAACCUGCCCUUAACUCUGGGAUAAGCCUGUGAAACUGGGUCUAAUACCGGAUAGGAGCGUCCACCGCAUGGUGGGUGUUGGAAAGAUUUAUCGGUUUUGGAUGGACUCGCGGCCUAUCAGCUUGUUGGUGAGGUAAUGGCUCACCAAGGCGACGAGGGGUAGCCGGCCUGAGAGGGUGACCGGCCACACUGGGACUGAGAGACGGCCCAGACUCCUACGGGAGGCAGCAGUGGGGAAUAUUGCACAAUGGGCGCAAGCCUGAUGCAGCGACGCCGCGUGAGGGAUGACGGCCUUCGGGUUGUAAACCUCUUUCAGUAGGGAAGAAGCGAAAGUGACGGUACCUGCAGAAGAAGCACCGGCUAACUACGUG
rnacentral:rRNA from 1 species